CAAAGAGACAGACAUGACAGAAAAGACAAAAAAGAGAGACCAUUAAGAGAAUCACGACUUUUACCUCUGGGCUGAACCAACAAUCUUUUUUCUCUGAGGAAUUAUUCUCUGGAUUAUUUCCCUAACCUCUGCACUGAAACGUAUUGUGACACACUGACUGAAUUAUAAACGUUUCUUUUAAGUCCUUUAAGUUACGUGGCUGCCAUCGCCAAAGCCUCACCUUUGACCUCCACUUACAUGCAAGCUACUGGAGACUAUUUAACAGUAAGGACAAACGUUGGGCAGCAGUAUGGAGGUGCUCAGUGGCCCCUGGGCUGAAGUGGCUCUGCUCCUGCGACAAACCAUCAUGCAGACAGACAGAGAGACAGACAGUUUUCUUCCUCUCUGGUUCUUCAGCCUGCUGCUGUUCCUGUCUGUCUGUCUGCUGCUGCUGCAACUGAUUAUCUACCUCAGCUGGAAACUCAGACAGGUUGAGGCUGAUCUGUGGGGGUUUCCAGAGGACAGAAGCGCCAUCCACAGGCAGAUACACAGAAGUACACACCUGAGGAGGAGGAGCGUUGGGUAGCAUUCAUACACCUGACCGGACACACACACACUCAAUAUGAGUUCAAACUGUCUCUAUAGCAAUAUGACCACUGUGGACACCAUCAUGGACGUGGGAGGGACAUAUCUCAUAAGCCGUCUCAUGAGAAUAAAAGUUGAAGCCUGUAUAGAAAAUCUGUAGCUGUCAUAGAUCUGUGAAAACCAAUGCUGUACCUCUUGAAAAACUCAGGAAAAUUUGGAAGCCAUUUAAACAGCUGUCUGUACAUAUGUACAACAUCUGUAUGAAGAAUCUUACACAUGAAGAACAGUAGUAUUUUUGGUAAAGUGAACACUUAGUGUACACAUUAUUACUACCUGACUACGACAUCAACUCAUGUACAUUAACAUAAGACAUUUACAUGUUUUGAAUCACAACUGAAAUGAAUGAAUGAGGAAAUGGACUGACCAAACAGAUUUCAGAGUAUAACAAUCCUUUAUUUAAACAGUGUUACACUGGGGAGGAGUGGCUGUGCGUGGGGAGACACAAGACAGUUAAGCUGCUAGAUAGAAAAAUCCUACCGGUGAUCAUUGGUUGGCUAAGAAAGAGCAAUGAGGCAGCUGGUUGGUUUUCCAAAACUCAGUUCUUUAUAAAGUUUUGUGGAAAGUGAGUUUUUACUUAGUUAAAAUACAAAACUUUGCUGGUUUUAAUUGACUUUAUACCUCCUCAUCUGUCCAAACUGUAGUACCAAGCCUGAGAUUUAUGUGUAAAGAAUAUAAUUGGCAUCAAUUAUAAAACAUUCAUCUCAUCAGCCCCCACACAGAAAGUCAUGUCACUGUGUCGGAUGAAAGUUACAAUGCCCUCCAUAAUGUUGAGAUCCCUGACAGUUUUAAAAUCAGCUGGCGUUGAAUCAUCUGUUUCUUAUCCAUGAGUAACAUUAUGGAGUUGCCUUGGUAACUGCUGGAAACUUCCAAUGGUCCAACUCUUGUCUAUUUUGCUUUUUUAUCUUAAUAAAAGUUACUGUCAUUCAUUUGUCAUUCUAUUUUUUUCUUUUUUGGGUGAUCUCACAUAAAAUUUAUGAGAAAAAGCUACAAACAUUUUGGAAAACCGGACCUCACCGCCCCACAGCUCCUGUGACUGGAUAGAAGAAAGCCCAGACCCCCGAAAAGAGGUUUAAUCUGUGGCCAAAAGUACAAAAAGGAAACGGUGGCAGAAAAUUUGAUUCGUAAUGGUGUUCCUUCAAAAAACACUGUGACAAUGUUAUAAAUAUUCAAGAGGGGGGCACAACAAUUCCCGCCUUUCAACAACUAGAUCAGUUUCACAGAAAUAGGACGACAAAUUAUGAGAAAAGCUACAAAUAUCAUUGUUUUUUUCUGUUUUGAACAGCGAAAACUCACAAAGCUGCCCAUUGUUGCAUGGUUUGUUUGUUUUUUUCCUUCUUUUUCUGCUGCUUUGUCUCUUUGCAAGAGGGUUAGAGGUUAAAGCUUCCCCCUCAUCUGGAAUGUCAUUUAACUGCAUAGUAGAGGUCAGACCGGUGUUUCCCAAUAAAAAGCCAAGACAGUCAUUACCACGCUAUCAUCUGGACAUGUCUCAGUCCAGAAAUAAAGUUUUAAAAUGGUUUCAAAUUAGGAGGUCAAUACUCCUUCAUUAAAAACACACAAAUUAUUCUGUUGAGUUCAAUAUGAAAUGCCACUAUGUCCAGUCAGAGAGGAGGGUUAAGACAAACCUAGGCAAGUCCAGGUGGAAUGUUUUCAUAUAAAUCUGUGGCACUUCUUUGAUUACAGAUCAGAUUUUACAGAAUUUGUUUUUCUUUUUUCAUUUUUGCUCACAUUGAAAAUCCGUCAACUAAAUACAUUGGACCAAACUCCUUGUUCUAACCUGUUUAAUGCCACCGAUAUUUAAACAGACACAUUUUUGUGGAUUUCUGCUGAACAUUUGGCUAAAGGACAGAAAAUGAAUAAAACAUCAUGAGAUUCCAUGUAGGGGGGUUUUCAAGAGCACUUCAAGCCCUCUGAUACACUUCCCUUCAAGCUGCAUUUUACUGUUAUGUUGUAACUGUUUCCAUGUCUGUCUGUAGUAUGUAGUUAUGUUUGUGUUGUAGAAUCAUCUAGAAUACAACUGAAUGUAAUUUUGAAAUUUAAACAUAUAAAAUACCAUUAACACGGCACAAUAUUUGGUUGUGGUGAAACAGUUACAACACAGCCAGCGCCAUGUCAAAGAUAAUCUUAUCUAGACAUACUGUAUGAGCCGAGAUAAUCUGUUAUCUACACACUCUCAAACCAAUCAAUCUAUACUCGCUCAAGAUACUCUUUGAAGAUAAAAAUGUGUGAAGACAUGCUGAAUUUAAUUCCACCUCUCAUUAUGUCUAGCAGGUUUUGUUGGUACGUAAAGAAGCUGGGAGUGAAAUUAAGUGCUGAACUACGAUGACAAACAGGCUCCGAGGCAGAGUUAGCAAACUGGUAGAAAUUACUUGUGACAGAACUGGUUUCCAAGCUGUUCCAGCUGCAUGUCCUCAUUUUGGUACCUGCGUUGGUCGUAGCACAAAACUCUUUUUGAAUAAUAUAAAUUGCAGAUUGUUUGUUAAGCAUUGUCCUAAGAAUAUUAAAACAGCUUUAACUCACUGCAGGGUGCAAUAUAACAACUGCAAAAAAAGGCCGACAGGCAAUAAUGUUCAAAUUCCUUUUCACUCCCAAAUAGAUGAUGGUCGGCAUGGUACAGCGCUAACACUAUCUCCCAAUUACACUUGUGUUUACUGGUCCUCUCUCCCAAUCAAGUCAGUUUGCUGCUCCCUUGCUCCCCUGCGGCCCAGUGGGAAUGGUUAGUGUCAUACAGUGGGCGGGCCCAGGGAGAGCGUUUAGCUAAGUUAAAGCUGGAUUACUGCUCAUUAACCUUCAUUUAGUUUACUGUACAGAACGUUGUAUACACCAGCGUUAAAGUCAGUUCAUUUUCAGUUCUGAAUUCAAAAAUAAAGUAAAACCCACUGACCCAGUUAAGAGUCCUUCCACUCUUACCUACUGUAAAUGUUAAAAUGUCUUCUCUUGAGUAAAAAGUGAAUUGAACUGAUAAUGAACUCACUCAGCUGCCAGUCAACACACAAGGAAUGUGGAUGAAUAAUAACUAUACUUACAGGAAAAAAAGACGGAACCAUAAAAAACAAAAAAAAAAA